AUUAAUUAAUAGCAUAGUGUGAAUGUUGUUGAUUGAUGGUGUUUGAUUAUGUGAUGUGUGAUUAUUACAUAGUAAAAUAAUUACAACCUAAUAGUGUUUUAUUUAAGUUCUACCUCUGUAGACGGACAGGGUGGGGAUUCUUCGUUUAAAAACCCUUCCGCUGCACUGUUCUGUUAUUGUAUAAGUAAAAGAUCCUCCCCCACCCAAAACGGUCCCGUGCUACAAUUGGUAGCAGAGCGAGGUUUAUAUUUGUGUUGAUAGACUAUAGCAUUGCUAUGUUUUUGCAAUUGUUAGGUUUAUAAUUUGUAUGACCAAAGUGAUAGUAUAAUCCUUAUGAUUAUCUUUUAAAUAAAUGGUAUUAAGGGAGAGAAGGUGUAAGUAUAGGUAUUAUGUGAAAAUACCUUUAGGAACUCGUAUAUGAUUGAAGUUCAUUUUGUUCCAUUUUUGUGUGUUGUUGAAAAUCCUAUCUCUACACCAUUUAGCUCUAAGUGUUUGAGUAAGAAGAUACUUCGUAGGAGUGCAUAACAGGUUUAUACUUUGGAAAAUCUUUUGCAUUAUACUUUUGCUGCAUAUGUGCGCUCACUUAAAGUACAUUCAUUAUAGGGUCUAGGUUUGAGACUAUUCCUGUUCAGAUCCUGGUACUAUCAAUCACUCAUCUAAAAAGUUUGAUAGAACAUUUGUUUUGAUUCCACUUCUUGUUAUUCACAUGAUUGUGGCUAUGUCGUUGUUAGUUGUAAUUCUGUAAGUUACCCUUUUUUAAAUGGAAUUAGUAAUGGUAUGGUCUGGUGAACAUUUUUUAGUCUUUUGAUUUGGUCUUUGUUUUUGAGAGU